CAAGUCAACAAAAAGAAGACCGCGUGCAGCAACGGACCCGCGUAGGCGAGCGAGGAAGGAAGCGGGCGAGAGCGAUUCGAGUGGGAAGGCGACUGAAGACCGACCGACGCCAUGGCGGUCGCAAGCUUUUACCGGAGAGUACUUCCUUCUCCGCCGGCGAUCGAGUUUCCCUCUCCCGAAGGAAAGAGAUUAUUCUGUGAAGCUCUUCAAAAUGGAACUAUGGAGGGCUUCUUUAAAUUAAUUUCUCACUUCCAAACCCAGUCAGAGCCUGCAUAUUGUGGGUUGGCCAGUUUAUCUAUGGUAUUGAAUGCCCUUGCUAUAGAUCCGCAUAGAAAAUGGAAAGGUCCUUGGAGAUGGUAUGAUGAGUCCAUGUUGGAUUGUUGUGAACCUUUGGAGAAAGUUAAGGCUGAAGGUAUCACAUUCGGUAAAGUGGCUUGCUUGGCUCAAUGUGCAGGAGCUAAAGUCGAAUCUUUUCGUACAAAUCAAUGCAAUAUUGAUGAUUUUCGUCACAAUGUUAUCAAAUGUUCUUCUUCAGAAGACUGUCAUCUUGUAGCAUCAUACAGUAGAAAACCCUUAAAACAGACUGGGAUUGGUCAUUUUUCACCAAUUGGUGGAUAUCAUGCAGAAAGUGAUAUGGUACUAAUCCUUGAUGUAGCUCGCUUCAAAUAUCCUCCUCAUUGGGUUCCACUUGCGCUUCUUUGGGAAGCAAUGGAUACAAUUGAUAAUGCAACUGGGCAUCGUAGGGGGUUUAUGCUUAUUUCUGGUUAUGAGAAAGCACCAUCAUUGCUUUAUACACUGAACUGCAGAGAUGAAAGCUGGUUGAGCAUUGUUAAAUAUUUGAUUAAUGAUGUACCUAUUCUUUUGAAAUCUGAGGACCUAAAAAGUGCUUCCCAAGUUCUUGAUUGUGUGUUGAAGUCCUUACCUGCAUGUGCUGGAGAUUUUAUUAAACAGAUUCUUGAGGUUAGGAGACAAGAGGAAGAUGGAUCUACCUUGAGCAAUGAGGAGAAAGAGAGACAUGCUCUGAAGGGAGAGAUACUGAAGCAAGUUCAUGAGACUGUGCUAUUUAGAUAUGUAACAGACAUAUUAUCAUCUUCAAUCACAAAUGACAAUCUUAAAGAGGAUAUUGUAACUGUAUGUUGCCAAGGAACAACCUUACUUCCAGGAGUCUCAGUGUGUAGAACAAGAAUUGGUUUCAAAGCUACAGGUGUUACAUGCAUGAAGGCCAACAAUGAUAACCUAACAGCUAUCUCUGGUAUAACAGUUUCAGGUGGCAAUGAACAGGGAAUUAAUAUAUUGGAACCUGUAUCAGCAUCAGUGGCAGAGAGCACUUGCAGUUCCACAUUUGAUGUACCUGUUAUUGUACAGUUAGCAAGUAAUGCUGCUAUAACUGUGCUACUAUUGGCUUUACCUGCAAGCACAUGGUCAGGGGUUAAGGAUGCAAACUUGCUGGUUGAAAUUCAAGAUCUUUUUUCAACUGAGAAUUUUGCUAAUCCUCUUCGGAAUGAGAUUCUGCACCUGCGUCAGCAGUUCUAUUUUCUGAGAAGGUGUGCAGAUGAGGAAACAAGUGAUGAUCUAAAGUUCCCUGUUUGCCCAUAGCGAUAUGAAAUUUCGUGGAAUAUCAAAGAGGUGAAGGUGGACAUUAUUCGCGCCUGCACGCAGGUCAAGGGCACAUGUUCUUUCAACAUCUACUAUACAUGUUGAGAAGAUAAGCAAAAAUGACACGAUAAAUAUUUGGCAGCAACAAUUGGUCAUAUUAAUAUGAACUAGUUGAAGAAAUGGUGGACAAGAAUCUACUCAAAGACUUGUAAAUAAGGGUUGUAGUUCCCUUCCACCAGAAUGAUUUGGUGUCGGUCCUGUGUUGGGCACGCUGAUCUGGGGUGUUGGAGGCACUGAGGAAAGGAAGGAAUAAAGUAGGAGCAAGAACGUGUCAUAGACCUCUCACAAAACUCUUGGGACUUUGCCAGACCCUUGCGCACUUCAUAUGAAGUUGUUGCUGUCAUCGUGCAAAGUCAUCCCCUUUAAGAUCUCAUAGAAGCCUCAGGUGAAGCAAGUUACUUCAUUGAUUAUGAUGAAAUGAAGAAAGAAUUGAAGUGCAUGGAUAGAAAACAUAUAAUUGUUGAUCCUUGAGAUGUCUUCCGUGAGGCUACUUAUUCCUAUCCACCAAGGUUUAUUUUGAAGGAUAAAUAAUGGAGGGAAUAAAAGUGAUGACCUCAUGUGUGAUUUUGGAAUCAUCCUCUUCACUCGGUACUUCUUCCUUUGAUGUGAUCGGAGCAUUUUAAACUUUGACGUCGUGUUUUUUUUAUUGAAAAAGGAUGAAAGUGCCUUGAGAACAUUUAAAAGGAAAUGGGCUAAAGUAAGUUGUUAUUGAGCUGUUGACUUGUUAUGUAUUUAUUUCUUUCUCUGGUCAUUUAGAUGUUCAUGAGCCUUCUUAUUUUGAAGAAGCAAAAAGUGUUAAAAGAAUGGAAGGAGACUAUAGAUGAGAAAAUGAUCUCAUACCAAAGCCUAAGGGUGCAGAUUCCGUCACUUUCAAGUUGGUCUAUAAGCUAGAGCAUAAGGCGAAUAAAAUAUAGACCACUACAAAGUAAGACUUGUCACAUGGUGAAAACUAUAAGGAAACUUUUAGUCCUGUUGUCAAGAUGACAUCAAUAAGGACGUUGAGAAUUCCUUCAUAUGCCAUGAGAUAUAAAAGGACAGUCACAGAGUAAUCUCCUGGCUAGAAUACUCGACUAUAAUAUCUCAAAGCCUUAGUUUAGCUUGUUAUAUCCUGAAGUUGCAAAGAGGAUACUCGACUAUGUAAAGAGGCUAGAAUUUGCAGAGACGAUACUUAACUAUGUAAAUUUUAUUUUAGCUUGUUUAGAAGGGCGGUCAACUUCUUUUGCACAUAUUAGUGCAAAAGACGUAUAAGUGCUUGUAAAUGUUUUUUCCCUCUUGUUCUUGUCAAAAAAUCAGCUGUCAUUUUGUUGCAUCUAGUUAUAGCUGUUGUGUAGGAUAUUUUU